rnacentral:rRNA from 1 species
UCAGGCCUAACACAUGCAAGUCGAACGGACUACUUCGGUAGUUAGUGGCGAACGGGUGAGUAAUGCCUAGGAAUCUGCCAUUUAGUGGGGGAUAACGUUCCGAAAGGAACGCUAAUACCGCAUACGUCCUACGGGAGAAAGAGGGGGAUCUUCGGACCUCUUGCUAAAUGAUGAGCCUAGGUCAGAUUAGCUAGUUGGUGAGGUAAAGGCUCACCAAGGCGACGAUCUGUAGCGGGUCUGAGAGGAUGAUCCGCCACACUGGAACUGAGACACGGUCCAGACUCCUACGGGAGGCAGCAGUGGGGAAUAUUGGACAAUGGGCGCAAGCCUGAUCCAGCCAUGCCGCGUGUGUGAAGAAGGCCUUUUGGUUGUAAAGCACAAAGAGCGAGGAGGAGGGUACUCUAGUUAUACCUAGAUGUAUCGGA